GCGGGAAUAGCUCAGUUGGUAGAGCACAACCUUGCCAAGGUUGGGGUCGCGAGUUCGAAUCUCGUUUCCCGCUC
rnacentral:tRNA from 1 species